UACGGGAGGCAGCAGUGGGGAAUCUUGCACAAUGGAGGAAACUCUGAUGCAGCGAUGCCGCGUGAGUGAAGAAGGCUUUUGGGUUGUAAAGCUCUUUCGUCGGGGAAGAAAAUGACUGUACCCGAAUAAGAAGGUCCGGCUAACUUCGUGCCAGCAGCCGCGGUAAUAC
rnacentral:rRNA from 1 species